rnacentral:rRNA from 1 species
UGGGGGAUAUUGCACAAUGGGCGAAAGCCUGAUGCAGCGACGCCGCGUGGGGGAUGAAGGCCUUCGGGUUGUAAACUUCUUUUGCUCUGAACAAGGCAUGCUAAUGGGUGUGUUGAGUGUAGGGGUUGAUUAGCGCCGGCUAACUACGUGCCAGCAGCCGCGGUAAUACGUAGGGCGCGAGCGUUGUCCGGAAUUAUUGGUCGUAAUGGGCUUGUAGGUGGCUGGUUGCGUCUGUCGUGAAAGCUCAUGGCUUAACUGUGGGUUUGCGGUGGGUACGGGCUGGCUUGAGUGGAGUAGUGGAGGCUGGAAUUCCUGGUGUGGCGGUGGAAUGCGCAGAUAUCAGGAGGGAUACCGGUGGCGAAGGCGGGUCUCUGGGCUGUUACUGACACUGAGGAGCGAAAGCAUGGGGAGCGGACAGG